CUGAGAUACUGAGGACUACAGAGGAAGCCACUUUCAGAGCUCAGGAAGUUACAUGGGGACUAUCGAGGUAGCUGUACAUGUUGGAUGUCCCAGCAGAGUUGAGGCAACCAGUUUCAACAGCAGCAUUUCCCUGGUACUCGCUGACUACAGAAGAUAACCAUGAGGGACUGUGUACCUCAUGCAUGAAGUAAUCCCCAGUAUCUUGGUGAAGACAUAAUCGCUGGCUCCUAGGGCCGAGAAGCUCAGCUGGUCCCAGCACCCAGAAGGAAGCUCCCUGCCUCCAUUCCAGGCUCCUAGAGCAGAGAAGCUGAGC
ensembl:lncRNA